rnacentral:rRNA from 1 species
GAAAGACCCCGUGCACCUUUACUGCAGCUUCAGAGUGGCAUUAGGAAAGAAUUGUGUAGAAUAGGUGGGAGGCUUUGAAACAUCGGCGCCAGCUGGUGUGGAGCCAACCUGUGAAAUACCACCCUGUGAUUUUCUGAUGUCUAACCACGCACCGUUAUCCGGUGUUGGGACCCUCUGUGGCGGGUAGUUUGACUGGGGCGGUCG